CGCACAGCAUUUCCACGUCAGUGUGUUUACCAAAGCCGGGCUAACAGCUACAGGAAGUGCUGUCAGCUGUUCAUCUAUGGACUGUUUUUGGGGGGAAUGAUUGAUUAUGCACUAAUGAGAGAGAUCCCGCCAUCACACGGUGGAAUGUCUGAGUAUUGUGGUUUGUCUGUUUCUGACAGUGAGCUGAACUUUGGUCUCCUUGAUUCACUGUUGUCCGACUAGCCCGUUUAGCUUGUCGAGAAAAAAAAAAAGGCAGCACCAGCUCCGCAAGGACUCCUUGUUUGAAUCAGCAGCCUCACGAAGGAAGAGAAGCAGCAUGGUGGACAAAAACAUCUACAUUGUCCAAGGUGAAAUAACCACAGUUGUUGGAGCUAUUAAGAGAAACUCUCGAUGGAAUAACCAUACUUCACUGGAUGAAGAACAAGACCCAUUACUGAACAGCUUCGGCCAUCUCAAGGAAAUACUCAACAACA